GAGGAAUAAGCAUCGGCUAACUCCGUGCCAGCAGCCGCGGUAAUACGGGGGAUGCAAGCGUUAUCCGGAAUCAUUGGGCGUAAAGCGCCUGUAGGUUGUUUAAUAAGUCUGUUGUUAAAGACUGGGGCUUAACCCCAGGAAAGCAAUGGAAACUACUAGACUAGAGUAUGGUAGGGGUAAAGGGAAUUUCUAGUGUAGCGGUGAAAUGCGUAGAUAUUAGAAAGAACACCGGUGGCGAAAGCGCUUUACUGGACCAUUACUGACACUCAGAGGCGAAAGCUAGGGUAGCCAAAGGGAUUAGAUACCCCUGUAGUCCUAGCCGUAAACGAUGGAUACUAGAUGUUGCGCUUAUUGUGCAGUGUCGUAGCUAACGCGUUAAGUAUCCCGCCUGGGGAGUACGAUCGCAAGGUUGAAACUCAAAGGAAUUGACGGGGGCCCGCACAAGCGGUGGAGCAUGUGGUUUAAUUCGAUGCAACGCGAAGAACCUUACCAGGGCUUGACAUACUGCAAAUUUUCUUGAAAGAGAAACGUGCCUUCGGGAAUGCAGAUACAGGUGGUGCAUGGCUGCCGUCAGCUCGUGUCGUGAGAUGUUGGGUUAAGUCCCGCAACGAGCGCAACCCUCGUUUUUAGUUGCCAUUUUAUGGGUUCUCUAGAAAGACUGCCGGUGACAAACCGGAGGAAGGUGGGGAUGACGUCAAGUCAGCAUGCCCCUUAUGUCCUGGGCUACACACGUGCUACAAUGGUUAAAACAAAGGGUCGCGAGCUCGUGAGAGUCAGCUAAUCCCAUAAAUUUAGCCUAAGUUCAGAUUGUAGGCUGCAACUCG
rnacentral:rRNA from 1 species